rnacentral:rRNA from 1 species
UACAGAGGUCUCAAGCGUUGUUCGGAUUCAUUGGGCGUAAAGCGUCCGCAGGUGGCUAUGUAAGUCUGCUGUUAAAGAGUGAGGCUCAACCUCAUAAGAGCAGUGGAAACUACAUGGCUAGAGUGCGUUCGGGGCAGGGGGAAUUCCUGGUGUAGCGGUGAAAUGCGUAGAUAUCAGGAAGAACACCGGUGGCGAAAGCGCUCUGCUAGGCCGCAACUGACACUGAGGGACGAAAGCUAGGGGAGCGAAUGGG